rnacentral:rRNA from 1 species
AGAUUAAGCCAUGCAUGUCUAAGUGCAAGUCGUCCCCGAGACGGCGGAACCGCGAAAGGCUCAUUAAAUCAGUUAUGGUUCCUUAGAUAGUACACCCCCAGUUACUUGGAUAACUGUGGUAAUUCUAGAGCUAAUACAUGCCGAUGGAAUCUCGACCGGGCGGGCGUGCCUCGCGCGCGUCCACUCGGGAGGGAUGCUUUUAUUAGAUCGAAACCGGCCGGGCGGGCUCGCGUCCUCGCGACGCGGACCCGUUACGUGGCCCGCGCAAUGACUCGGUGAUUCUGAAUAACUUUGAGCUGAUCGCACGGCCUCGCGCCGGCGACGUAUCUUUCAAAUGUCUGCCUUAUCAACUGUCGAUGGUAGGUUAGUCGCCUACCAUGGUCGUGACGGGUAACGGGGAAUCAGGGUUCGAUUCCGGAGAGGGAGCCUGAGAAACGGCUACCACAUCCAAGGAAGGCAGCAGGCGCGUAAAUUACCCACUCUUCGUUCGAGGAGGUAGUGACGAAAAAUAACGAUACGGGACUCAAUUGAGGCCCCGUGAUCGGAAUGAGAACACCUUAAAACCUUGAUACGAGGAUCGAU